rnacentral:rRNA from 1 species
UACAGAGGGCUCAAGCGUUGUUCGGAUUCAUUGGGCGUAAAGGGAGCGUAGGUGGCGGGGUUAGUCAGGUGUGAAAUCUCGGGGCUCAACCCCGAAACUGCACUUGAUACUGCCUUGCUAGAGUACUGGAGAGGAGAUUGGAAUUUACGGUGUAGCAGUGAAAUGCGUAGAUAUCGUAAGGAAGACCAGUGGCGAAGGCGAAUCUCUGGACAGUUACUGACACUGAGGCGCGAAGGCCAGGGGAGCAAACGGG